UUCCCUCACGGCUCUUCUCCCAGUCCCUGAAACUCGGCUGCCAGGGGAGCUGGAGCCACCUGCGAAGGUGUCCUCCCAUACUGGACCCCUACAGGUAACACGUGUCGGUGCCAGGGUCCCCUGCCAGGGUCCAGAGACGCAGGCACUGCCACCUGGUAUCCUGAGCACCCUCCAGCACCUUGGGGUUGGGGGAGGUGGGCGCAUGUCUGGAACUGGAACAGCUGGACAGAUGGACAGACCCUCCUCUUGACCAAUGGGUCUGUCCCACGGUGUCAAAACAGCAGAGAAGACCAAACACUUGAAGCUCCGUGUGCCCAGCUGGGGCACAGCCCCAGCUGAUGCCCCAGAGGGGCCACCCAUCGCAAGAGGGGCUUUGGGCUCUGCCCUCCCUCCCCAUGGCGCAUGGGCCAAAGCCUGAGACUGAAGGACUGUUGGACCUCAGCUUCCUGACAGAGGAGGAGCAGGAGGCCAUUGCUGGCGUCCUCCAACGAGAUGCCCACCUGCGCCAGCUGGAGGAGGGGCGGGUCAGCAAGCUCCGGGCCUCAGUGGCAGACCCUGGGCAGCUGAAGAUCCUGACAGGGGACUGGUUCCAGGAAGCACGCUCCCAGCGGCACCACAAUGCCCGCUUCGGCUCUGACCUUGUCCGAGCGUCUAUGCGCAGGAAGAAGAGCACCAGGGGAGACCAGGCUCCAGGCCACGACAGGGAGGCUGAGGCUGCUGUGAAAGAGAAGGAAGAGGGGCCAGAGCCCAGGCUCACCAUUGAUGAGGCCCCUCAGGAGAGGCUCAGGGAGACUGAGGGACCUGAUUUCCCAUCGCCUUCUGUCCCCCUAAAGGCUUCAGAUCCUGAGGAGGCGUCCCAGGCCCAGGAAGAUCCUGGCCAAGGAGACCAACAGGUCUGUGCCAAGGAGGCUGACCCGGAGCUGGAGCCCGCGUCGGGGGGAGAGCAGGAGCCGCGGCCCCAGCAAGCCCAGGUAGGCGGGAGUGGCCCGUGGCUGCUCUCAACAUCCGGAGCGGACUCCGGGCGGGGAGCGCUCCUGCCCAGGGCUGCGAGCCGCCCGCGACCCAGGGCGCUCGGGGCAGGGGCGGGGAAAGAAGGGGCGCCCCGUCACUUGCCCCCUCUGCAGACCAAGGCCACGUCCCAGAUCCUGGAGAAUGGGGAGGAGGCCCCGGGGCCCGACCCCUCUCUCGACCGCAUGCUCAGCAGCAGCUCCUCGGUGUCCAGCCUUAACUCCUCCACGCUGAGCGGCAGCCAGAUGAGCCUGUCAGGCGACGCGGAGGCGGUGCAGGUCCGCGGCUCCGUGCACUUCGCGCUGCACUACGAGCCGGGCGCCGCCGAGCUGCGCGUGCACGUGAUCCAGUGCCAGGGCCUGGCCGCCGCCCGGCGCCGCCGCUCGGACCCGUGAGUGCCCCGCCGGCCAAGCGGGGCGCGGCUGUCACAGCCCAGCCCACCAUUCACAGGGUCUCGGCCUCCUCGUCCUCAUCUUCAAAAUGGGAACAACAGCGUUAUUGGGAGGCUUGCGAUUAAGCGAGACAAUCCCUGUAAAGCGCUUAGCACGAGGCCUGGCACGUGUUCGGGGUGGUGGCUGGGGGAGCCCACAGGCAGGGGAGAAGGCUCUGGGAGGGCCCCUCCUCACCUCGGGUUCUCACCUCCCCAGCUACGUCAAAAGCUACCUCCUCCCGGAUAAGCAGAGCAAGCGCAAGACGGCGGUGAAGAAACGGAAUCUGAAUCCGGUUUUCAACGAGACUCUCCGGUACUCUGUCCCGCAGGCCGAGCUUCAGGGCCGCGUGCUGAGCCUGUCUGUGUGGCACCGCGAAAGCCUGGGUCGCAACAUCUUUCUGGGUGAAAUUGAAGUGCCCCUGGACACGUGGGACUGGGGCUCUGAGCCCACCUGGCUCCCCCUGCAGCCCCGGGUCCCACCCUCUCCCGACGACCUUCCGAGCCGCGGGUUACUCGCCCUGUCCCUCAAGUACGUCCCCGCCGGCUCCGAGGGCGCAGGACUGCCCCCGAGCGGGGAGCUGCACUUCUGGGUGAAGGAGGCUCGGGACCUCCUGCCGCUGCGGGCAGGAUCCCUGGACACUUACGUACAAUGCUUCGUGCUGCCUGAUGACAGCCGGGCCAGCCGCCAGUGUACAAGGGUUGUGCGACGCAGCCUCAGCCCUGUGUUCAAUCACACCAUGGUGUACGAUGGCUUUGGGCCUGCUGACCUGCGCCAGGCUUGUGCCGAGCUCUCCCUCUGGGACCAUGGGGCCCUGGCCAACCGCCAGCUGGGGGGCACACGCCUCAGCCUGGGCACCGGCAGCAGCUAUGGGCUGCAGGUGCCCUGGAUGGAUUCCACACCUGAGGAGAAGCAGCUGUGGCAAGCCCUCCUGGAGCAGCCGUGCGAGUGGGUGGAUGGCCUUCUACCCCUCAGAACCAACCUGGCCCCCAGGACGUAGCCCCACCAAGCCUCUCUCUCUGGACCCCCAUCUCAGGGCCUGCCCUUGGCUAAAGUCAAUAAAGUCUAUUCUAAGAGC
rnacentral:sRNA from 1 species